GACGAACGCUGGCGGCGUGCUUAACACAUGCAAGUCGAACGGAAAGGCCUAGCUUGCUGGGUACUCGAGUGGCGAACGGGUGAGUAACACGUGGGUGAUCUGCCCCUGACUUUGGGAUAAGCCUGGGAAACUGGGUCUAAUACCGGAUAUUCAUUUUUCCUCGCAUGGGGAUUUGUGGAAAGCUUUUGCGGUUGGGGAUGGGCCCGCGGCCUAUCAGCUUGUUGGUGGGGUAAUGGCCUACCAAGGCGACGACGGGUAGCCGACCUGAGAGGGGGAUCGGCCAGACUGGGAUUGAGCCACGGCCCAGACUCCUACGGGAGGCAGCGGUGGGGAAUAUUGCACAAUGGGAGGAAGCCUGAUGCAGCGACGCCGCGUGAGGGAUGACGGCCUUCGGGUUGUAAACCUCUUUCAGCUCCGACGAAGCGCAAGUGACGGUAGGAGCAGAAGAAGCACCGGCCAACUACGUG
rnacentral:rRNA from 1 species